GGGAAAGAUGGAGAAAGACAGCCUGCAGCAGACACCAGACUCUUCUCGGCUGAUGGCCGGGCUGUCCUGGACAUACAUACCUGGAGGGCGACGACUGUCCUAUUGCAGGGAACCGGGAGAGAGAGGUUUGUGGUGGAGCUGGAAGUAGAAGCUGCUUAAAGCCAGUGACUUUUACAUUUUGAAAAGGAUUAUGUCCCUUGAUGAAAUCAAGCCAAAUGUCCCUCAGAUGGGAAUGGAGGGCAUUUGAAGGCAGCAAGAGAAGUCAGGGUUUGUGGGUCCUUCCCGUAGCAGAUACAUGAGUUUCUCCAUUAUCAGAACCCAAGGAAGAUUCUGUGGUGGGCUCAGGGAAGUUGGGCACCUAGUCUUACCAAAGAUCUCCCUACCCAGAGGGUGGAUGGAAGCAGUGGGGACAAGGGAUAUGAAGAUACCAUGCCAAUUCAGUAAAGGAGAACCUCAUCCCUAACCAGGGUAGACAGACAUAUGUCAGUGGGGCUCUCCUCAGGCUUUGGUGCCAGAUAAGACCAUAGGAUGUUCGUUCAACUAGCAGAAAUGGGGAAUCACCGAUAAUAACUGAAGAGAAGAUCCCAACAACAUGUUACAGUCAGGAUAUCAGAUUCCUAUUUAUGUUCAUUUAGAGGCAAUGUGGUAUUUUAAAAUGUGUUUUAAAUAAAUGUGACAUUUCUAACAUGUUUAAGCCAAGAUCCAUUUGUUUACUAGGCCUUGUAUUCAAUGGAUAAGUCCUUGUUAAGAACUCCUCUAGGGCUCACACAGGCACCUUUCAUCUGUGGGGCCCGCUGUUGUCUAUGGCAGCGUACCCCUAAUAAACUCCCUUUUAUUCCCACUAAAAGAAAAAAAAGUCCUUUAGUUGGCGAAGGCCCUAGGUCCCAAAGAGGACAUGACAAUUCUAAGAAUAUAUGGCAAAGUAUGAACGAUGGUUAUUUCAGGUAUGUGUAUGCUAGUAAUCUCAUUUGCCCCUCCCCCUAUCCAUUUCCCCCCUCUGCUGUGUCCCCCAAGGUUACCAGUAUUGCUGUAUCAAAGGCCUUCUUUGCCCUUUGGCUUCUAGUAUGGCCAAAGGGAAAUACCCAACAGGAGACAAAAAGGAGGGACGAGUGAGGUCAGGUAUUCCACCCCUAGCCUGCUUCCUGGAGUCUGUCUUCUUUGAGGUUUCUGUGAGCUGACUGCAUUCUCAAGAUUCCAGCUGCCGUCAGGUGGCCCUUUCCACACAGCUGUCUACCAUUCCAGUAACUCCCCACUCCCACUUUCUCCCCUCACCCCAUUCCUUCCUCUCACCACCCCCACUCGUCCCCAGCUCCUACUCCACUGUCCCCCACACUCCCUCCUCCAGCUCCCUUCCCCACCCCAUCCUCUCCUUCUCUACUCUUGUCUAUAGGCAGUCACACCAUGUCACACGCUGAACUGU